UAUAAACACGUGGCUGCCGCACCCAAUCUCUCAUCUAUACAGCUCAUCUACACAGCAGUACCAAUGUACCACUAGGUUUCAAAAUUCAAAAACAUUAUGCCCCAGCCUCUCCCGCGUGAGAUCCGAUUAAUUUCGCCUCCUUUUCACGAUUAUUGGGAGCUGUUCUUCAUCUUCUUCUCCGAGUCUUGGUUUUGGCUAUAAAAGAGGUUUCUUCUAUGCCCUUUAUUACACAGAAGAGAAUCUUGGUUCUUGAUUUUAUUCAAAUCUGAAUCCCACUAAGCUUGAUUCGAGAGUAUUUAGAGGAGUAUAGAUCUAUGAUUUGAAGCGCAGCUGAGCUUUUUCGAGAAACUGUUACCAUUCCCCAAAUGCAUCCCAAUCCAAUUUCAAUUUUUAAUUCAAAUUCUCAAGUCUCGACAAGUUGAUUAUGACUCAUGGUUGAGGAGGGAGCGGAUUCGAAACCACAAAUCAAAUUUUGCAGAUGCCCAAUUUUCACACAUUGCUCAACUUGGUCCAGUGGAACUCAGUGGAAGUACUGUUGGACAAGUUUCUCGGAAAUCAUCCAAUACAUGUCAAACUUUCAAAAUUAAUUGAAAUUGUGGCAGAUAGUGCAAGGAUCGGAAACAAAUAAAUCUUGGCUUCCAAAACAAAGAAUUGACGAGGUAUUACUUGAUUCCACGAAGGUCAAGAAAUGGUUGGAGGAGAAAGUGGCUAAACAGGCUAGUUUGUCUACAAGGCACAGAAAAUCAUCAAAAAAAAGAGAGAAUCUGCAGCUGUCUUUCUCACUGGCAGAUUAUUAGAAACAAUGAGGAGAUAUAGAUGAUGAUGAAUGUAGAGGAUACUUCACAUUUUAAAAACUGAGCCAGCGCAAGAAGAGUCUUUGAUGGAGAGGGUGGAUUCCUAGAGAAUGCUGGAUUAUUAUUGGCGUAUAAGUGGCUAAUUAUAGGUGAUAUUUAGUAGAAAAGUGAUCAACAUGGUUCCAGUGUUGGUAUACAUACAAUGACAAGUAUAUUUUCAGUUAAUGACUCUAAUCACUUGGAAAGUCCUUUCACAUAUACAGGCUUUUCAUUUCUCUACAUAUAAUGUUUGAUUCCCUGGAAAAUAUAGUGACCGUUGAACAAUGAAUCUAAUCAUGAAUGCUAAUAAUCACACAGUUUUAGUCCAAAUAUUCCUUUUAUAUUGUUACUCAUCUUCACUUAACAUCACCUGCAGAUGGUCAUUAGCAACGUAUAAUCAAUCGGCUUGAUGGGGCAGGGCAGCAUUUGGAUGCCUUUGAUUUGGCAAAGGAAAGGAAUUUUUUAGGUAGCAUGCUCCCGGAUCAAAACCACGGAAACAUAUGAGGAGUUUCCAGUCACAUGUUGGAAACUCACGUGGUAAAUAUUCAUGCUUAUGUACACGUCGUGUGUUCGGUUUCUGCAGUGAGAUGUUCCAGAAUAGCUUUUGAUCAUGUGUUGUUUACAUACAUACAGAAAUUUGGCAGAUAAUCAGCCAAGUGGAAGCAUAUUACUGGAAAUAGGAAGUGGUCAGGAUUUUCUCUGCGAGUUUGAUCAUGCUUUUUUCGGUACCCCUUUAUGGUGCAAUGGACAUCGCCCUUAAACUAUACACCUCUUCAUUCAAAGGGAAAACCAGAUGAGUUGGAGUACAUGGUUCAGAGAAUGAAGAUCAUGUCCUUAAAACAUAAAGAAGCAAAAAUGCCAAACGAAAGCAGAAUCAUGGUGUGGAAGUAGUCUUUAUAAAUUUUAUUACAAGUAUUUUAUUUGUGAUUUUAUUUCUGGAUGUUAGAAAAUUAGUCAAAAUAUUAGUGAGAUGAAUAUGUGAAAUAGAUAUCUAAGAAGAUGAAGCCAGUUUGGCUUUUGCCUAUUUGUAUUGUUUUGUUAUAAUUUUAAUUGAUUCUAAUUUUCAAGUCCACGUAUCACACCGAUAUCUAAGAUGAA